UCCUGCCCUCGGAGGUCGAGUCUCACUUUUUCGAGGUGAUCUGCAGCACGGCAACGCCUCCAUAAAAAUAAAUAACGUUCAACUGGAGGACGGAGGAAUCUACACCUGUAUCUUUCCAAGCAGAGGAAAAACAUUCUGGAUUGAGCUUGUUGUUGGAGCAGCAGAGCCAGAGAUCACAAUUUUUGUUCAAAGAAAUGGCGGGGCGCUGCUUCAGUGUGAUGUUAAGAAUGCUAAUCCCAAGCCUACAGUGGAGUGGCAGGACAGUAACAAUCUAAACAUUACUUCUGAGCAGCCACAGGUCUUUGAACAAGGAGGUCGCUUCAACAUCACCCUCAAAGCUACUGUGAAAAGAUCCGACCGCUAUCGCUGUGUCGCCACACAGUUGCAAAUCAAACAUCAGGCGCAAAAAGAAAUCAAUGUAGAUUUUGAUGAGAAGAGUGACUCUGCACAAGUGCUCCCUGUAUGGGCUGCCAUACUCAUCGGUGUUCUUGUUGCUGUUGUUAAAGUGUGAGCUAAAGCUUGCUUUUUGAAGAAAGGUUAACAAAGAAGAGAAUAUGGCUGCUCCACAGAGAUGCAGAAAAAUCUCACCUCCGAACGAUCUUAAAAAGUGUGAAUUGGUCAUAUUUGAAACCUGUUUUUGUUUUUUGUCUUUGAUUCAGCUGAGAGUUUAAUCACAACAGGACAUGUUGGCUCUUGUUUUGUUGUGCGACUUUUCUCUGGUUUCUAAUGAAAAAACAUUUUGACUUAACUCUGUUCGUCUUGGCUCAGGACGCUCGCUCAGAGAGAGGACGUGUCAAGAGUUUUGAGUCAAAGGUUAAAAAAUGAAACUUUACUCUCUAACAUCACAGAGUACUUCAGCGUCAAACCUGACGAUCACCCAAACAGUCACAGUCCAACCUUCACUCUCCGUCACAUUCAUGGUUUAAAAUUACACGACUGUUUCUUCUACCUGCAUCUUUCAAACUCCUCACCAAGUUUUAGCUUCACACUGUUCUGUGUUUAUAUUUCAUUAUCAUUAUUGAUCAUAUUUAGAUGUCGGACUGUUGUUGUCCUCAUAUAAGGAAAUAUGAUCUAUAAUUAAUAACGUACUUCCAUAUUUUCACUUUUAACUUUUUUUUCCUCCGAAGUUAAAAAGUUUGUGUUGUUGAAAAUAAAAUAGAAAAAAUACCAUUUUAAAACAGUCACAUUUCCAUCAUUUCAACUUUAAUUUGAUCAUUUACUGAUCAUCUCAGUGUUUCCUCUCCUGCUGCAGUUUAAUGGCUCCUCCUGACUCCUUUCCCAUUUUCAUUGUGCAGCUUUAUAAAUAAUUCACUGAACAAAGUUUCUCUGAGGUUCAUGUUUUUCAUGAGGACAGUGAUGGUUUGUUUUUGAUCGUAACAGAUUAAAAUAAUUGGAACCCCUUUGAAGACGUUACAGUUUAUUAUCUGGAUCAGUAAAAAGAAAAAUAAUGAGCCAAGCAAAUUUAAAAAUGGCCCAAAGCAAAACCUUAACUCUAAAUUUAGGACUUAAAGUUUCACGUUUCUAUUAUGUUUCAUAUUCAGUCGAAAGUUUGUCAUGCAAAUGAUGAAGAAACUUUUCAGCUCAUAUUUAACUCAGUCUAGUUAAACAUGUGCACUCGUGUUUUACUGCAAAUGAAUAUUUAGCAGAUAGAAAAAUUAUGAUUUUCAUUUUUAGAAUAUUUUUACUUACUCUUAAACUCUAAUAUCAUAUGUUGCUUUUGGUUCAGUUGAUUUUUUUUUUCCAGAUUAUAUUUUUGCUGUCAACUGUUGAUGUACUUUUUUAUGUUCAUGCCAUUUGACAGAAAGCUUAAGAGUGCACAAGCCUGAAUAAAAAACUUUUGCGACUG